UUCUCUGCCUGCCUGCAACCGACUUUUGCUAAUAAGUGAAAGUCUGAAAUUUCCCACAAAUUUGUAGGGUGUAUACAUUCUACACAAGAAAGAAACCAAACAGGUCGUCGUUCCUCUACCGAAAUCCACCUUCUUCCCACAAAUCAUCUGAUGUUCCCUUUGUCUUAUUAUUAUGGUUUGAUGAACUGUUGUAGAAACCUUCAUCGUAAGCAUCAUCUUUUGGAUCAUCCCAACCGGCCCAGUUAUCAGAAGCACCAGAAACUUUUUAUUAACCUUUUUCCUAUUUCUUUUGCAUCUUUCGAAGAAACUUCUUUGUUCAGAAAUUGGGGAUAGCAGAGUUCAUCCAUGAAGAUCCUAAACAGUACAAGCAGCUAACAAAGUACAGAGAAUGUAAUCAGAAAAAAAAAGAAGUAUAUUGCAGUUAUUUCAAUGGGAUCCAACAAAGCCUCGAGGAAAAGAGAUCGUCUGGAAGUUUGAGAAUUUUUAAUGCUUCAGUGAAGUACAACCAUAUUUGGAGUUUUGAAUUGGAACAUAUAUUUUCUCAUACUGCAAGGCUGAACAGUGAAGCAGUAGUAUUGUUUGUAAAUGCCUUCGGCAUAGUAAUAGUAGUAAAACACAUAAGAUAAGUCGCUUAUGUUGGAAUUUCAGCUCCUUAAUAAUCAUUA